rnacentral:rRNA from 1 species
AUGAAAGUCAAACAAUCUAUGUUCAAUAGGACAAGAUUUGUUAUUGGAAAUGGUACAAGUACACGUUUCUGGGAGGAUACUUGGCUUGGAGACUCACCUUUAGCCAUUCAAUAUCCGUCUUUAUAUCGGAUUGCUCAACGACGUGAGGUGUUCGUGGCAACGGUAUUUCAAUCUGUCCCCCUUAAUAUUCAGUUUAGACAGUCGCUAGCGGGCAAUCGUUGGGAAGAAUGGCUCCAUCUAGUUAGGAGACUAAUGGAGGUUCAACUUUCUCACCAACCCGAUGUAUUACGCUGGAAGUUGACUAGUUUUGGAGUUUUUACAGUUAAAUCAAUGUAUAUUGAUGUUAUUAAUUCGAAUGCUAUUCCAACUUUCAAGUAUGUUUGGGCUGUCAAAGUUCCUUUUAAAAAUUAA